AAAGUGCGAUAAGCAAUGCGAAUUGCAGAAUUCCGCGAAUCAUCAGAUCCUUGAACGCAACUGGCGCUAGGAGGCUCUCCUUCUAGCAUGUCUGUUUCAGUGUCUGAAAACAUCACAUCUAACUUAAUGUGGUUGAUGAUCUCAUGUUUUUCAAAUAUGAGCUAAUCUUCCAUUAAAGAUGUAUGUGUGGGUCUUUGAACCCCUCAUUGAAUUGGUCAACUUUUAGUUGAUUUCAAUAGGGAUUGUCUCAAUUACCUAUAUACACAUAGAAAUUUUUCAAACAUCAAACUCUGCAUCUGAAAUCAGGCAAGAACACCCGCUGAACUUAA
rnacentral:misc_RNA from 1 species